rnacentral:rRNA from 1 species
CCUACGGGAGGCAGCAGUGAGGAAUAUUGGUCAAUGGUCGGGAGACUGAACCAGCCAAGCCGCGUGAGGGAGGAAGGUACAGAGUAUCGUAAACCUCUUUUGUCAGGGAACAAAGGCGGGGACGUGUCCCCGGAUGAGUGUACCUGAAGAAAAAGCAUCGGCUAACUCCGUGCCAGCAGCCGCGGUAAUACGGAGGAUGCGAGCGUUAUCCGGAUUUAUUGGGUUUAAUGGGUGCGCAGGCGGUCUGUUAAGUCAGCGGUCAAAGCCCGGGGCUCAACCCCGGCCCGCCGUUGAAACUGGCAGUCUUGAGUGGGAGAGAAGUAUGCGGAAUGCGCGGUGUAGCGGUGAAAUGCAUAGAUAUCGCGCAGAACUCCGAUUGCGAAGGCAGCAUGCCGGCUCCAAACUGACGCUGAGGCACGAAAGCGUGGGUAUCGAACAGGAUUAGAUACCCUUGUAGUC